rnacentral:rRNA from 1 species
ACGCUCGACACCUACGGAGGCAGCAGUGGGGAAUAUUGGGCAAUGGGCGCAAGCCUGACCCAGCAACGCCGCGUGAAGGAAGAAGGCUUUCGGGUUGUAAACUUCUUUUCUCAGGGACGAAGGAAGUGACGGUACCUGAGGAACAAGCCACGGCUAACUACGUGCUAGCAGCCGCGGUAAUCUGAGCGGGCUGGCAAGGC